AAACUCAACUGGAUCUUGUUCCUGCUUGAUUAUACUGAGGUUAAAGAUUUUUGGAAACAAUACUUCUCAAAUGAUGCUGGUGCUUCAUACUGUAUCACAUCAGGAGACACAUAAUUUCAGGAGGAACCAGAUCAUUGCAGCUCUAUUUACAAUAGCCAGGACAUGGAAGCAACCUAAGUGUCCAUCGACAGACGAAUGGAUAAAG